GAGACCCACGCCCACAGUUGCCAGCGUACUCUCCGGAGUGACGGGUACACUGUGGGGACCGCCGCUGCUAAAGCGGAGGAAGGAAUGGGCAACGGUAGGUCAGCAUGCCCCGAAUUAUCCGGGCUACACGCGGGCUACAAUGGUCAGGACAAUGGGUAUCGACACCGAGAGGUGAAGGCAAUCUCUUAAACCUGUCCUUAGUUCGGAUUGUGGGCUGCAACUCGCCCACAUGAAGCUGGAAUUCGUAGUAAUCGCGUCUCAAAAUGGCGCGGUGAAUAU
rnacentral:rRNA from 1 species